rnacentral:rRNA from 1 species
UUAAAUUGAAGAGUUUGAUCAUGGCUCAGAUUGAACGCUGGCGGCAGGCCUAACACAUGCAAGUCGAACGGUAACAGGAAGCAGCUUGCUGCUUUGCUGACGAGUGGCGGACGGGUGAGUAAUGUCUGGGAAACUGCCUGAUGGAGGGGGAUAACUACUGGAAACGGUAGCUAAUACCGCAUAACGUCGCAAGACCAAAGAGGGGGACCUUCGGGCCUCUUGCCAUCGGAUGUGCCCAGAUGGGAUUAGCUAGUAGGUGGGGUAAAGGCUCACCUAGGCGACGAUCCCUAGCUGGUCUGAGAGGAUGACCAGCCACACUGGAACUGAGACACGGUCCAGACUCCUACGGGAGGCAGCAGUGGGGAAUAUUGCACAAUGGGCGCAAGCCUGAUGCAGCCAUGCCGCGUGUAUGAAGAAGGCCUUCGGGUUGUAAAGUACUUUCAGCGGGGAGGAAGGGAGUAAAGUUAAUACCUUUGCUCAUUGACGUUACCCGCAGAAGAAGCACCGGCUAACUCCGUGCCAGCAGCCGCGGUAAUACGGAGGGUGCAAGCGUUAAUCGGAAUUACUGGGCGUAAAGCGCACGCAGGCGGUUUGUUAAGUCAGAUGUGAAAUCCCCGGGCUCAACCUGGGAACUGCAUCUGAUACUGGCAAGCUUGAGUCUCGUAGAGGGGGGUAGAAUUCCAGGUGUAGCGGUGAAAUGCGUAGAGAUCUGGAGGAAUACCGGUGGCGAAGGCGGCCCCCUGGACGAAGACUGACGCUCAGGUGCGAAAGCGUGGGGAGCAAACAGGAUUAGAUACCCUGGUAGUCCACGCCGUAAACGAUGUCGACUUGGAGGUUGUGCCCUUGAGGCGUGGCUUCCGGAGCUAACGCGUUAAGUCGACCGCCUGGGGAGUACGGCCGCAAGGUUAAAACUCAAAUGAAUUGACGGGGGCCCGCACAAGCGGUGGAGCAUGUGGUUUAAUUCGAUGCAACGCGAAGAACCUUACCUGGUCUUGACAUCCACGGAAGUUUUCAGAGAUGAGAAUGUGCCUUCGGGAACCGUGAGACAGGUGCUGCAUGGCUGUCGUCAGCUCGUGUUGUGAAAUGUUGGGUUAAGUCCCGCAACGAGCGCAACCCUUAUCCUUUGUUGCCAGCGGUCCGGCCGGGAACUCAAAGGAGACUGCCAGUGAUAAACUGGAGGAAGGUGGGGAUGACGUCAAGUCAUCAUGGCCCUUACGACCAGGGCUACACACGUGCUACAAUGGCGCAUACAAAGAGAAGCGACCUCGCGAGAGCAAGCGGACCUCAUAAAGUGCGUCGUAGUCCGGAUUGGAGUCUGCAACUCGACUCCAUGAAGUCGGAAUCGCUAGUAAUCGUGGAUCAGAAUGCCACGGUGAAUACGUUCCCGGGCCUUGUACACACCGCCCGUCACACCAUGGGAGUGGGUUGCAAAAGAAGUAGGUAGCUUAACCUUCGGGAGGGCGCUUACCACUUUGUGAUUCAUGACUGGGGUGAAGUCGUAACAAGGUAACCGUAGGGGAACCUGCGGUUGGAUCACCUCCUUACUUUAAAGAAGC